UGGCUCAGGACGAACGCUGGCGGCGUGCUUAACACAUGCAAGUCGAACGCUGAAGCUCAGCUUUUGUUGGGUGGAUGAGUGGCGAACGGGUGAGUAACACGUGAGUAACCUGCCCUCUUCUUUGGGAUAACGCCCGGAAACGGGUGCUAAUACUGGAUAUUCACUGAUCUUCGCAUGGGGGUUGGUGGAAAGGUUUGUUCUGGUGGGGGAUGGGCUCACGGCCUAUCAGCUUGUUGGUGAGGUAACGGCUCACCAAGGCGACGACGGGUAGCCGGCCUGAGAGGGUGACCGGCCACACUGGGACUGAGACACGGCCCAGACUCCUACGGGAGGCAGCAGUGGGGAAUAUUGCACAAUGGGCGCAAGCCUGAUGCAGCGACGCCGCGUGAGGGAUGACGGCCUUCGGGUUGUAAACCUCUGUUAGCAGGGAAGAAGAGAGAUUGACGGUACCUGCAGAGAAAGCGCCGGCUAACUACGUGCCAGCAGCCGCGGUAAUACGUAGGGCGCGAGCGUUGUCCGGAAUUAUUGGGCGUAAAGAGCUUGUAGGCGGUUUGUCGCGUCUGCUGUGAAAGGCCGGAGCUUAACUCCGUGUAUUGCAGUGGGUACGGGCAGACUAGAGUGCAGUAGGGGAGACUGGAAUUCCUGGUGUAGCGGUGGGAAUGCGCAGAUAUCAGGAGGAACACCGAUGGCGAAAGGCAGGUCUCUGGGCUGUAACUGACGCUGAGAAGCGAAAGCAUGGGGAGCGAACAGGAUUAGAUACCCU
rnacentral:rRNA from 1 species